AAUCCAUAGGUUAAUGAGGCGAACCGGGGGAACUGAAACAUCUAAGUACCCCGAGGAAAAGAAAUCAACCGAGAUUCCCCCAGUAGCGGCGAGCGAACGGGGAGGAGCCCAGAGCCUGAAUCAGCAUGUGUGUUAGUGGAAGCGUCUGGAAAGGCGCGCGAUACAGGGUGACAGCCCCGUACACAAAAGCGCAUGUGCUGUGAGCUCGAUGAGUAGGGCGGGACACGUGGUAUCCUGUCUGAAUAUGGGGGGACCAUCCUCCAAGGCUAAAUACUCCUGACUGACCGAUAGUGAACCAGUACCGUGAGGGAAAGGCGAAAAGAACCCCGGCGAGGGGAGUGAAAAAGAACCUGAAACCGUGUACGUACAAGCAGUGGGAGCCCCACCACCAAAGCAUUCUCUGGUGUUGAAGGCCCUGCAAAGCAGCAUCGCGGUGGCGGAGCGUCGUUUGCGACGCCCAACACACAAAACAAGCGGUGAAUGCUUUGGGGUGGGGUGACUGCGUACCUUUUGUAUAAUGGGUCAGCGACUUAUAUUCUGUAGCAAGGUUAACCGAAUAGGGGAGCCGGAGGGAAACCGAGUCUUAAUUGGGCGUUAAGUUGCAGGGUAUAGACCCGAAACCCGGUGAUCUAGCCAUGGGCAGGUUGAAGGUUGGGUAACACUAACUGGAGGACCGAACCGACUAAUGUUGAAAAAUUAGCGGAUGACCUGUGGCUGGGGGUGAAAGGCCAAUCAAACCGGGAGAUAGCUGGUUCUCCCCGAAAGCUAUUUAGGUAGCGCCUCGUGAAUUCAUCUCCGGGGGUAGAGCACUGUUUCGGCUAGGGGGCCAUCCCGGCUUACCAACCCGAUGCAAACUGCGAAUACCGGAGAAUGUUAUCACGGGAGACACACGGCGGGUGCUAACGUCCGUCGUGAAGAGGGAAACAACCCAGACCGCCAGCUAAGGUCCCAAAGUCAUGGUUAAGUGGGAAACGAUGUGGGAAGGCCCAGACAGCCAGGAUGUUGGCUUAGAAGCAGCCAUCAUUUAAAGAAAGCGUAAUAGCUCACUGGUCGAGUCGGCCUGCGCGGAAGAUGUAACGGGGCUAAACCAUGCACCGAAGCUGCGGCAGCGAACGUAUCACCCAAGACAACUUUACGGAGUUGACGAUUGACGGAGCGAAGCGACGUCAAAGCGUUCAUUAA
rnacentral:rRNA from 1 species